AGGUACAUUUGCUUCUUUCAAUUUUCAUAGGACUUGAGAGCCAAUUUUCCUCUAAAGGUGUGUGUGUGGCUCGUUGUCAAAUGGGUUAUAUUCAAGAAUGCUUCUUGAUUAUCCAAGUGUAAGAUGAAGCCAACAAAUUCUUCAAGGAAACAGCCCUGUGCCAGGCACUGUGCUGCCUGUGAGGACACAAGGGAAGUAGAGGAUUCUUUCACAUUGCGAAGUGUAUCUCAGUAGCCUUCUGGGCACAAUAACCAGCAACUUUCCACCGUCUGUCAAGAUGCAGUGAGCCAUCACUGUGAAUUUCCUCCUGGCCAUGCCUGUGAUUUCAGCAGCAGAUCAAAUGUUGGUGUUCAAUUCAGAGAUGUACCU